rnacentral:rRNA from 1 species
AUUGAACGCUGGCGGCAUGCUUUACACAUGCAAGUCGAACGGUAACAGGCCGCAAGGUGCUGACGAGUGGCGAACGGGUGAGUAAUGCAUCGGAACGUGCCCAGUCGUGGGGGAUAACGCAGCGAAAGCUGCGCUAAUACCGCAUACGAUCUAUGGAUGAAAGCGGGGGACCGUAGGCCUCGCGCGAUUGGAGCGGCCGAUGUCAGAUUAGGUAGUUGGUGGGGUAAAGGCUCACCAAGCCAACGAUCUGUAGCUGGUCUGAGAGGACGACCAGCCACACGGGGACUGAGACACGGCCCAGACUCCUACGGGAGGCAGCAGUGGGGAAUUUUGGACAAUGGGCGCAAGCCUGAUCCAGCAAUGCCGCGUGCAGGAAGAAGGCCUUCGGGUUGUAAACUGCUUUUGAACGGAACGAAACGGUCCGGGUUAAUACCCUGGGCUAAUGACGGUACCGUAAGAAUAAGCACCGGCUAACUACGUGCCAGCAGCCGCAGUAAAAC